rnacentral:rRNA from 1 species
GUGUCAGCAGCCGCGGUAAUACGUAGGGUCCAAGCGUUAUCCGGAAUCACUGGGCGUAAAGCGUGCGUAGGUGGAUGCUUAAGUGAGUUGUUAAAUCGUGGGGCUCAACCCUGUCGAUGCAAUUCAUACUGGGCGUCUAGAGGACGGCAGAGGCAAGUGGAAUUGGUAGUGUAGCAGUGAAAUGCGUAGAUAUUACCAGGAACACCAAUGGCGAAGGCAGCUUGCUGGGCCACUCCUGACACUGAGGUACGAAAGCGUGGGGAGCGAACAGGAUUAGAUACCCUGGUAGUCC